UUUUUAAUAUAAGUAUGUGCCAUACAGUACUUGGGACAUACUUAUAUUAAAA
rfam:Macaca mulatta chromosome X, whole genome shotgun sequence.